rnacentral:rRNA from 1 species
UGAAUCAGUAUGUGUGUUAGUGGAAGCGUCUGGAAAGGCGCGCGAUACAGGGUGACAGCCCCGUACACAAAAAUGCACAUGCUGUGAGCUCGAUGAGUAGGGCGGGACACGUGGUAUCCUGUCUGAAUAUGGGGGGACCAUCCUCCAAGGCUAAAUACUCCUGACUGACCGAUAGUGAACCAGUACCGUGAGGGAAAGGCGAAAAGAACCCCGGCGAGGGGAGUGAAAAAGAACCUGAAACCGUGUACGUACAAGCAGUGGGAGCACGCUUAGGCGUGUGACUGCGUACCUUUUGUAUAAUGGGUCAGCGACUUAUAUUCUGUAGCAAGGUUAACCGAAUAGGGGAGCCGAAGGGAAACCGAGUCUUAACUGGGCGUUAAGUUGCAGGGUAUAGACCCGAAACCCGGUGAUCUAGCCAUGGGCAGGUUGAAGGUUGGGUAACACUAACUGGAGGACCGAACCGACUAAUGUUGAAAAAUUAGCGGAUGACUUGUGGCUGGGGGUGAAAGGCCAAUCAAACCGGGAGAUAGCUGGUUCUCCCCGAAAGCUAUUUAGGUAGCGCCUCGUGAAUUCAUCUCCGGGGGUAGAGCACUGUUUCGGCAAGGGGGUCAUCCCGACUUACCAACCCGAUGCAAACUGCGAAUACCGGAGAAUGUUAUCACGGGAGACACACGGCGGGUGCUAACGUCCGUCGUGAAGAGGGAAACAACCCAGACCGCCAGCUAAGGUCCCAAAGUCAUGGUUAAGUGGGAAACGAUGUGGGAAGGCCCAGACAGCCAGGAUGUUGGCUUAGAAGCAGCCAUCAUUUAAAGAAAGCGUAAUAGCUCACUGGUCGAGUCGGCCUGCGCGGAAGAUGUAACGGGGCUAAACCAUGCACCGAAGCUGCGGCAGCGACGCUGAUGCGUUGUUGGGUAGGGGAGCGUUCUGUAAGCCUGCGAAGGUGUGCUGUGAGGCAUGCUGGAGGUAUCAGAAGUGCGAAUGCUGACAUAAGUAACGAUAAAGCGGGUGAAAAGCCCGCUCGCCGGAAGACCAAGGGUUCCUGUCCAACGUUAAUCGGGGCAGGGUGAGUCGACCCCUAAGGCGAGGCCGAAAGGCGUAGUCGAUGGGAAACAGGUUAAUAUUCCUGUACUUGGUGUUACUGCGAAGGGGGGACGGAGAAGGCUAUGUUGGCCGGGCGACGGUUGUCCCGGUUUAAGCGUGUAGGCUGGUUUUCCAGGCAAAUCCGGAAAAUCAAGGCUGAGGCGUGAUGACGAGGCACUGCGGUGCUGAAGCAACAAAUGCCCUGCUUCCAGGAAAAGCCUCUAAGCAUCAGGUAACAUCAAAUCGUACCCCAAACCGACACAGGUGGUCAGGUAGAGAAUACCAAGGCGCUUGAGAGAACUCGGGUGAAGGAACUAGGCAAAAUGGUGCCGUAACUUCGGGAGAAGGCACGCUGAUAUGUAGGUGAAGUCCCUCGCGGAUGGAGCUGAAAUCAGUCGAAGAUACCAGCUGGCUGCAACUGUUUAUUAAAAACACAGCACUGUGCAAACACGAAAGUGGACGUAUACGGUGUGACGCCUGCCCGGUGCCGGAAGGUUAAUUGAUGGGGU